UACGUAGGGGGCGAGCGUUGUCCGAAUUUAUUGGGCGUAAAGAGCGUGUAGGCGGUUCGGUAAGUCUGUCGUGAAAUCCUGAGGCUCAACCUCGGGCGUGCGAUGGAUACUGCCGGGCUAGAGGGUGGUAGAGGCGAGUGGAAUUCCCGGUGUAGCGGUGAAAUGCGCAGAUAUCAGGAGGAACACCGGUGGCGAAGGCGGGUCUCUGGGCCGAUACUGACGCUGAGGAGCGAAAGCGUGGGGAGCGAACAGG
rnacentral:rRNA from 1 species